rnacentral:rRNA from 1 species
UAUGGCUCAGGACGGACGCUGGCGGCGUGCCUAACACAUGCAAGUCGAGCGAGGAGAUCCUUCGGGAUGAUCCUAGCGGCGGACGGGUGAGUAACACGUGGGCAACCUGCCUCAUAGAGAGGAAUAGCCUUCCGAAAGGGAGAUUAAUACCUCAUAACAUUGCAGUUUCGCAUGAAACAGCAAUUAAAGGAGCAAUCCGCUAUGAGAUGGGCCCGCGGCGCAUUAGCUAGUUGGUGAGGUAACGGCUCACCAAGGCGACGAUGCGUAGCCGACCUGAGAGGGUGAUCGGCCACAUUGGGACUGAGACACGGCCCAGACUCCUACGGGAGGCAGCAGUGGGGAAUAUUGCACAAUGGGGGAAACCCUGAUGCAGCCAACGCCGCGUGAGUGAUGACGGCCUUCGGGUUGUAAAGCUCUGUCUUCAGGGACGAUAAUGACGGUACCUGAGGAGGAAGCCACGGCUAACUACGUGCCAGCAGCAGC